CCGGGGUCCGAGCUCGGGCCCGCCUCCGCCUCCGCCAGCUCCUGUGAGCUGCCGAGUGCUAGGCACCCGGGCUCUUCUGGGGGCUCCAGAGGCGCCGCCCAAGAGACCCUGGGCCGGCGCCGGGCGCAGCUGCCUCUCCGUCUUUGUGUCUGUCUCUGUGUCUGUCUGGCUAUCUCCGAGUUUGCCUCCGCUUCCAGAACUAAGCCACCCAGACACCAUCAUCCCGAAAACCCCAGCCCUUCUCCCAUGGCAGGUAAGUGCGCGCAAGUCUGGGGGUCUCCGUUAUCCCCCCCACGGACUUGGGAGCCGGGUUUGAACACAUCCUCCCGGAAUGUGCUCGGACUGGCUGGGUGGGGCCCCUCCCUUCCUUCCGGGGAACCUCCACCCUGCUCCCCUGCCCCAUCUUUCUCUGCCUCUUGCCACCACGUUUCCCCCGAAGCCUCGCGGCCCAUGGGCUGAGGAAUAAGGGGAUGAGGCCUUGAGUCCCUUUCUAAUCUAUCCUGCUCCCACCGCUUUACAGGCUACUUGCCCCCCAAAGGCUACGCCCCUUCGCCCCCACCUCCCUACCCUGUCACCCCUGGGUACCCGGAGUCGGCGCUACAUCCUGGGCCCGGGCAGGCGCCAGUGCCCGCCCAGGUACCUGCCCCAGCUCCCGGCUUCGCCCUCUUCCCCUCGCCUGGCCCCGUGGCCUCGGGGUCUGCUGCCCCCUUCUUGCCACUGCCAGGGGUGCCUUCUGGCCUCGAAUUCCUGGUGCAGAUUGAUCAGAUUUUGAUUCACCAGAAGGCUGAGCGAGUGGAAACGUUCCUAGGCUGGGAGACCUGUAAUCGGUAUGAACUGCGCUCUGGGGCCGGGCAGCCCCUGGGUCAGGCGGCCGAGGAGAGCAACUGCUGCGCCCGUCUGUGCUGUGGCGCCCGCCGGCCGCUGCGUGUCCGCCUGGCCGACCCCGGGGACCGUGAGGUGCUGCGUUUGCUCCGCCCGCUGCACUGUGGCUGCAGCUGCUGCCCCUGUGGCCUCCAGGAGAUGGAAGUACAGGCUCCACCAGGCACCACCAUUGGCCACGUGCUACAGACCUGGCAUCCCUUCCUCCCCAAGUUCUCCAUCCAGGAUGCCGAUCGCCAGACAGUCUUGCGAGUGGUGGGGCCCUGCUGGACCUGUGGCUGUGGCACAGACACCAACUUUGAGGUGAAGACUCGGGAUGAAUCCCGCAGUGUGGGCCGCAUCAGCAAGCAGUGGGGGGGCCUGGUCCGAGAAGCCCUCACGGAUGCAGAUGACUUUGGCCUACAGUUCCCGCUGGACCUGGAUGUGAGGGUGAAGGCUGUGCUGCUGGGAGCCACGUUCCUCAUUGACUACAUGUUCUUUGAGAAGCGAGGAGGCGCUGGGCCCUCUGCCAUCACCAGUUAGAGGCCACCAUGGUGUGAGGAGACCAUCACCUCGACCAGAACUCCAGAUGGUCACCUGCCCUGGCCCCUCCUCUGGGCAGCCCCUUUCCUCCAUGUACACUGCAGGGGACAGAAGGGGGGCCCCAUCCCUACCCUACUCCCUGGCCGCCUGCCCCUGUGGUUCCCAAGGAGGGGUAUGUAUGAGAGCCGCUCUCCUGCUACCUCCCACCACUGUCCCAGCAGUCCCUCGGCACACAGGCAUAUCAGCUUUCACACUUUCCCCAUGCACUCUCUCCCACCCCCUUCCAGGGCCUCUGCUCCAAAGGAGGCCUCUGGAACCCAGGACUCUGGGGUUUUACAAGAGGGCUGGGGUGUGGAAGGGCAAGCUGCACCAAAGACGGUGGAUAUAGCCACCGCCCCCCCCGCCGCUGCCUAGCAUCUGCUUGGCCAAUUAGUUCAGCCUCAGACCAUGGCACUUUGAGGGGGUCUCUACCUCCCCAUCAACAGCUGCAGGGGGACCCCAGUGCCAACUUCCUCUCCCACUAGGGCCCUGCCUUCAGCUGGUGCUUGCUGCGAUUCCUGUGCCUUAUGUAACUGCCCUUCCUUCCCUUGCCCUAGGAAAAAGGCUGCAUCUUUAUAUGUUACAUUCAUAUAAACUUUGUAACUUUUUGGACAUUG
rnacentral:sRNA from 1 species